ACGAACGCUGGCGGCGUGCCUAAUACAUGCAAGUCGAGCGCGGGAAGCGGACUCGUCACCCUUCGGGUGUCUAGUCCGUGGAACGAGCGGCGGAUGGGUGAGUAUCACGUGGGCAACCUGCCUGUAAGAUUGGGAUAACUCGCGGAAACGUGAGCUAAUACCGAAUGAAGUCUUUCACCACCUGGUGAAAGGAUGAAAGAUGGCUUUUAGCUAUCACUUACAGAUGGGCCCGCGGCGCAUUAGCUAGUUGGUGGGGUAAAGGCCUACCAAGGCGACGAUGCGUAGCCGACCUGAGAGGGUGAUCGGCCACACUGGGACUGAGACACGGCCCAGACUCCUACGGGAGGCAGCAGUAGGGAAUCUUCCGCAAUGGACGAAAGUCUGACGGAGCAACGCCGCGUGAAGUGAUGAAGGUCUUCGGAUCGUAAAACUCUGUUGUCAGGGAAGAACAAGUUGUGUUCUAACAGGACAUGACCUUGACGGUACCUGACCAGAAAGCCCCGGCUAACUACGUGCCAGCCGCCGC
rnacentral:rRNA from 1 species